CCAGCUCCAAUAGCGUAUAUUAAAGUUGUUGCAGUUAAAAAGCUCGUAGUUGGAUUUCUGGCGUUGGGGCCGCCGGCCCGGCAUCCUAGUGGUGCUGUGUUGUUGGUUGGUCUCCGCCAUCUUUUCGGAAGAACCAGCGUGCCCUUCACUGGGUGGCGUUGGCGACUCCGAUCUUUUACUUUGAAAAAAUUAGAGUGUUCAAAGCAGGCUUACGCUGUGAAUACAUUAGCAUGGAAUAAUAACAUAGGACUUUGGUCUUAUUUUGUUGGUUUCUAGGACUGAAGUAAUGAUUGAUAGGGAUAGUUGGGGGUGCUCGUAUUCAGGGGCCAGAGGUGAAAUUCUAUGAUUCCCUGAAGACGAACUUAUGCGAAAGCAUUCACCAAGGAUGUCUUCU
rnacentral:rRNA from 1 species